UACGGGGGGAGCAAGCGUUGUUCGGAUUUACUGGGCGUAAAGGGCGCGUAGGCGGUCGUGACAAGUCACUUGUGAAAUCUCCGGGCUUAACUCGGAAAGGUCAAGUGAUACUGUCGGACUAGAGUACAGAAGGGGCAACUGGAAUUCUCGGUGUAGCGGUGAAAUGCGUAGAUAUCGGGAGGAACACCAGUGGCGAAGGCGACUUCCUGGCCUGUUCUUGACGCUGAGGCGCGAAAGCUAGGGUAGCAAACGGG
rnacentral:rRNA from 1 species